rnacentral:misc_RNA from 1 species
GAUGAAGAACGUAGCGAAAUGCGAUAAGUAAUGUGAGUUGCAGAAUUCAGUGAAUCAUCGAAUCUUUGAACGCACAUUGCGCCCGUCAGUAUUCUGGCGGGCAUGCCUGUUCGAGCGUCAUUACGCCCCUCAAGUCCCCUGUGGACUUGGUGUUGGGGAUCGGCGAGGCUGGUUUUCCAGCACAGCCGUCCCUUAAAUUAAUUGGCGGUCUCGCCGUGGCCCUCCUCUGCGCAGUAGUAAAACACUCGCAACAGGAGCCCGGCGCGGUCCACUGCCGUAAAACCCCCCAACUUUUUAUAGUUGACCUCGAAUCAGGUAGGACUACCCGCUGAACUUAAGCAUAUCAAUAAGCGGAGGA